ensembl:lncRNA
CGUUGCCUUUACGCCCCCAAUGUGAGUGCAUUUAUAAAUCAACGCGUCUUCCUGAACCCGGUUAAUUGUUUCAUUGGCUCACAGCGUAGCCUAGCCCUACUCAUCCACUGGGAUCCGCAGUGGAAUUGUUUAAUGUGAAUCUGGAAAAUAAUGGCUUUAAGAUUACCAAGACCGUCCAAGCCAAGCUGCCUUCUGUAAUAACUCAACGCACAUGAUGCUGAAGAAGUCAAGCAUCCACAUGCUGCUUGGAUUUGCGCUUUAAAAAAACAUCCAGAGCUGCUGUCUUCAUCGGGGGCCCGUGGAAGCAUGGCCCCGGAUGACCCCCUCUCCUCCAAGCCACCGCUUGGCACACCAACCGCUCCCGCUCAAACCAGGCUCCCCAAGAAGCGCGCCACGCGGCCGCCGCAUAACCUGCCAUCUCCGGCGCUGUGCUGCGCUUGCGGGCUGUGCGUCACGCUAGCCGGCGUCAACAUUACCCUAGUGGGCGCCUUUGCGUUCGGCACCCUCCUGCCCAGCAACAACCCGCCCAUCAUCAUCGGACCCCUCCUCCUACUCGUGGCUUUGGCCUUUUUCACGACGUGCUGUGUGUUCAGCAGGAGGUCCGCGCGCCCCGCUACGUCUGUGGGCGCGGCGGGGUGCGACUCGAGCUCGGGGCUGAUGAUGAUGAAGAUGGGAGGCGCCGUGGCGUUUGAGAUGGAGACCAGUGAGCACACGCUACCGGACACCAUCGCCGUUCAGCUCAGCCCCACCGACUCCCUGACAUCGUCAUCGCCCAUCCAGGAGGAGCACCCUGCUCUAGGCGCAACCACGGGGACAGCGCAUGGGUUGGGUGAAGGAGAGGCGGGCCCUGCUGAUGGGACCCCUACCCUUCCUUGAUCAGAGUGCAGGUGCAAUGGCUACGUUCGGAUCCAGCUUUGAUAAGACUUGGAGUCGUCUGUGGAUCUCUGUUGGUCAAUUGAGAUGUUCAAUAUACAUGAUAACAUCACAAUUUGAUUAUAUUGAUAAAUUAUAACAUUACAAUUUAUCAAUGAGAUUAUUAAAGAGAAGAACUGCCUAUUGACGUGAUUUUAGUCAGGACUUGCCAAACCAAACUGUAAUUCCAGUGGUAAAUAUGCACUUCUUAUGCAAACGUAUAGGUUCUGUUAAUGCUGAGAAAAAAAAUUAUAUAUAAAUCCGACAAAACUGGCUUACGUUUCAGCUUGCAGACGUUAAAAGUAAAAUGUAAAACGUUGAAUGUAAUAAAUAUCACCAAAUAAUACUUAACAAUAGAAACUAAUGCUUAUACAAUACUAUUUUUUAUAAUACUAGACCUAUUUCUCCCCCUCAUAACUCACAUUUAUAAUCAUACGAUGCUUUUUGCCCGUGCGCAUCAGAACCAGCAUUUGCUGUC